AGUGAUUGAAACUCUUUUCCUUUCUCAUAUGUCUGUGGAAUGGCAUGUUGCUGUCUGCCAAAUGAUUUUGAUCUCUCAAAGCUUGAAGGAAAGAACCUUCUCGUACUAUUGUUGAGAAAGAGUAUGUGUGUGAUUAUUUGGACAAGAUGAAGAAAAUUCUUACCCAAGGCUAGAGGAAGUACCCAGAAGAAUCCAAGCCUGCCCAUCAAACCUACAAGUGUGGUCACAGAGGAGGGACAUUUCAUACCACAAUGGCAUGUAGUGCGGGCUCAGCAACCUUACCUCCCCACACCACGCCUGGGGCAGCUUACGCCCAUGCUGUGGACUCACCCGGCGCUCAGGUUGGAUAACCAAGACUUUACUGUAGAACCUUCCCCUCCAGAAGGAAGCAUUAGCAAGUGUGAAAUACCAGUUUACCAAAAGAGGUGUCAUCUCCUGCCCAACAAAAGAAGGCCUGUAGACAACAGACAAGCCACUAUGGAACAUCUGUGGACAAAAGACUGUUUAUUACUCUCCACGUGCCAAUGGGAGAGGGGCUGUGCACAAACUUUCAUCCCAUUAUAGUUUGAACUGAAGGGGUGAGAAUAAAAAUGGUGGACCUGAAGGAACUGUAUCACUAUGCUGCUUAGAAUGUGAAGAGGGUAAUAUUUCUAAGCUUAAGCAAGGGAUCCCCAAGCUGCUUAGUCGGAGUUAGCCCUUCAGGGCAUAUAGAGCUCACACAAUAUAGAGGCUUCUGUUACUUUUUGAAA